AAAAAUUCCCAAAUUGAUUUUGAAUCGUCAAAUCCCCUGCCCCCACUCUCACUCUCUCUCUCUCUUUGAGAACACCACACGACGAUAUCCUUUCUUCUCUCUCGACGCACUACCACCGACGGCCUCCUCAGACUCCCCCACCACCAACGACGCACCACCACUAUCUCCUCUCCCCUCUCUCCUCAAUCUCACACUCUCCUCUUGUCACAACACCACCGUCGAGCAACCCCAAACUCACCCCUACCACCACCGACGGGCAACCCCAAACCCAGCCCCUACCACCACCGACGCACCACCACCAUCUCUUCUAUCUCAACGAAAUUGCAGGAAAACAAGACUAACAUCAACCGAGCAAGUACACAAGAUUUGCUUCAUUGAAUAAGCUUUGUCCAUAUUUGUACCGUGCCAUGCCAUGUCGAGUUGUGUCCUGAUGACUUUUUGCUUCAUUGGGGUGUAGCCUUCUUUUGGGUUGCUGAAGCAUAUGAGGAGAUGGCUGAAGCAUGAGUGGGAGGUUUCCAGUCAAUUUUAGUGUAAGGACCAAGUGCAUGAGUUCCAAUUGUGUAAUACCAUCUCCAAACUCGUUCAUUGUGUAAAUUCAUGUAACUGAUUCACGCCUCUUUCCAUAGUCACAUCUUGUAAGUUGUAUACAAACUAGUAAGGAAAUACUCUAUUUGAUCAGAGAUGUCUAUGAUGCCACUUGGAAGGGCCAACUAUCCUACUAAGUAGUAGAAUUUCUGUGAAUGGAAAUGGUGAUUCAAUGAUUGAAGUGAGUGCUUGACUUUAAGUUUCAA